UUAUUUAUUUAUUUUUUUAUAUAUUUUUUUAUUAUUUUUUAUUAUUAUUUUUUAAUUAUUCAAAGGGAGAUUUUGUGGGCCUCCUUAACUGUCUUCAGAAUGCUUCUUUAGUGGAUUUAGUUCGCAAUAACUGUGAUGACAUUAAUGUUGCUUGGUCCAAGUGGAAAGCUGCUUUCCUUACUGCUGCCGAUAGUUUUAUUCCGAAAACAUCGCUCAAGCGUUCCUUCACGCCUCCUUAUAUCACCAAGGAUCUACUUCACGCCAUCAACAU